UACAGAGACUGCAAGCGUUAUUCGGAUUCACUGGGCGUAAAGGGUGCGCAGGCGGCCAAGUGUGUCAGGUGUGAAAUCCCGAGGCUUAACCUCGGAACUGCGCCUGAAACUACUUGGCUAGGGUACUGGAGAGGGUAACGGAAUUCACGGUGUAGCAGUGAAAUGCGUAGAUAUCGGGAGGAACACCAGUGGCGAAGGCGGGUCUCUGGGCCGUAACUGACGCUGAGGAGCGAAAGCGUGGGGAGCGAACAGG
rnacentral:rRNA from 1 species